AAACGGCCGCGUUAGCGUGAGCGUGCUAAGGUAGCGUAAUAAAUAGCCUCUUAAUUGGAGGCCAGUGAAUGGCAAGACUAGGGACAUCUGUACCCUGUAUAAAAAAACAAUUUUUCAUUUGGGUGAAAAGACCCAAAUAAUAAAGGAAGACGAAAAGACCCCGCGGAACUUUACCUUUUCCAGUCUCCACAUACUUAGAAAUACAAAAACAAAAGGUUUGAUUGGGGCAAUCUCGGAACCAUUCAAACUUCCGAUCUUCAACCUAACAGUAUAUAAAACUUAAUAAGGACCAAAAAGAAGUUACCCCGGGGAUAACAGCGUAAUCCAAUUAGAGAGUACACAUCGAAAAUUGGGUUUGCGACCUCGAUGUUGGCUUAAGG
rnacentral:rRNA from 1 species